GAUCCUGGCUUAGGAUGAACGCUGGCGGCGUGCCUAACACAUGCAAGUCGAACGAAGCAUAUUUAACGGAGAUUCGUCGAAGCUGGAUAUGACUUAGUGGCGGACGGGUGAGUAAUGUAUGAGCAACCUGCCUUUCAGAGGGGGACAACAGUUGGAAACGACUGCUAAUACCGCAUAACGUAUUUGGGUGGCAUCACCUGGAUACCAAAGGAGCAAUCCGCUGAAAGAUGGGCUCAUAUCUGAUUAGCUUGUUGGCGGGGUAACGGCCCACCAAGGCGACGAUCAGUAGCCGGACUGAGAGGUUGAACGGCCACAUUGGGACUGAGAUACGGCCCAGACUCCUACGGGAGGCAGCAGUGGGGAAUAUUGGGCAAUGGGCGAAAGCCCUGACCCAGCAACGCCGCGUGAAGGAAGAAGGUCUUCGGAUUGUAAACUUCUUUUAUGAGGGACGAAGGACGUGACGGUACCUCAUGAAUAAGCCACGGCUAACUACGUGCCAGCCGCAGC
rnacentral:rRNA from 1 species